CAGUUGUAGUGGAUGACACAGAAUUGUAAAAUAUUCCAAAGGCUGCCACAGUCCCAAGAACUAGAGAUAACUGCCACCCGCAAAUCAAGCACAGAAGAAAGGAAAAUUGUGUAACAGUAGUAUGAUAUGGAGGAAACUGCUCUCCCUGACAGCUCCAGAAGUGGUAUUUAAACCAAUAAAGGUAGCAUCAUCCCUCUUGCUAAGAUGACUGAGCUCAGUACAACCAAAGAGAAGCUAGAGAUUUUUGUUUCUCACUACAGAAUGUCAGUGAGGAAGCAUGUGACUCCAGAUGCUGUUGGCAGGCAUCCUAUGACCACAAAGGGAGCUCACUUCGGAAUGAAGCUGAUGGUCUGAGGAAAGAAAGUAGGGCUUCGAUGAUACUGUUAAACAAUCUAAAACACUGAUCCUACAACCUUUCUGGAUUUUCUAAUGUGUAAACCAAUAAAGCCACUUGUUUAAACCAGGCCAAGCUGAUUUUUGUUACUUGCAGGAGAAAGUAUUUGAACUGUAAAGGAAAGAUCAAAGCUUUAGAAACCUUCAAGAAGAUUCCAUUUAUUUACUGUGACCUGCUAUAGGAGGCUCCAGUUGAGGGUGGUCAAUUUUUCAAAUAGGUCAAAACAUGAACUAUAGCCUAAAAUUAGUCAAUAUGUUUUCUUGCUUAUUCUUAGGGCAGUGGGCCUACUCUUCUAGAACUGCUGGUCUACAAUGAAAUAAGAUUUAGGGACUAUUAUCUUAAAUUUCUGUCAGUUUUGAUGGCUUCUAAACCAGCUUAUUAAGUUGAACUUCUUUAGCUCCAAAAGUUGAGGAAGUUGGUCUUUGCUAUGAAAGUAGUAAAACUAUGCAUAGAAAGUAAGAAAAAAGGCUGAAGAGAAA